rnacentral:rRNA from 1 species
GGUUACUGCUAUCGAGGUUCGACUAAGCCAUGCGAGUCGAAUGUAGCAAUACAUGGCGUACUGCUCAGUAACACGUGGAUAACCUGCCCUUGGGUCCGGCAUAACCCCGGGAAACUGGGGAUAAUUCCGGAUAACGCAUAUAUGCUGGAAUGCUUUAUGUGUAAAAUGGAUUCGUCUGCCCAAGGAUGGGUCUGCGGCCUAUCAGGUAGUGGUGGGUGUAAUGUACCUACUAGCCUACGACGGGUACGGGUUGUGAGAGCAAGAGCCCGGAGAUGGAUUCUGAGACUUGAAUCCAGGCCCUACGGGGCGCAGCAGGCGCGAAAACUUUACAAUGCGGGAAACCGUGAUAAGGGGACACCGAGUGCCAGCAUCCUAUGCUGGCUGUCCGGGUGUGUAAAAUACACCUGUUAGCUAGGGCCGGGCAAGACCGGUGCCAGCCGCCGCGGUAACACCGGCGGCCCGAGUGGUGAUCGUGAUUAUUGGGUCUAAAGGGUCCGUAGCCGGUUUGGUCAGUCCUCCGGGAAAUCUGACAGCUUAACUGUUAGGCUUUCGGAGGAUACUGCCAGACUUGGAACCGGGAGAGGUAAGAGGUACUACAGGGGUAGGAGUGAAAUCUUGUAAUCCCUGUGGGACCACCUGUGGCGAAAGCGUCUUACCAGAACGGGUUCGACGGUGAGGGACGAAAGCUGGGGGCACGAACCGGAUUAGAUACCCGGGUAGUCCCAGCCGUAAACGAUGCUCGCUAGGUGUCAGGCAUGGCGCGACCGUGUCUGGUGCCGCAGGGAAGCCGUGAAGCGAGCCACCUGGGAAGUACGGCCGCAAGGCUGAAACUUAA